rnacentral:rRNA from 1 species
AUUGAACGCUGGCGGCAUGCUUUACACAUGCAAGUCGAACGGUAACAGGGUGCUUGCACCGCUGACGAGUGGCGAACGGGUGAGUAAUGCGUCGGAACGUGCCGAGUAGUGGGGGAUAACGCAUCGAAAGGUGUGCUAAUACCGCAUACGUACUGAGGUAGAAAGUGGGGGACCUUCGGGCCUCACGCUAUUCGAGCGGCCGACGUCUGAUUAGCUAGUUGGUGAGGUAAAGGCUCACCAAGGCGACGAUCAGUAGCGGGUCUGAGAGGAUGAGCCGCCACACUGGGACUGAGACACGGCCCAGACUCCGACGGGUGGGAGCAGUGGGGAAUUUCGGACAAUGGGCGCAAGCCUGAUCCAGCCAUGCCGCGUGUCUGAAGAAGGCCUUCGGGUUGUAAAGGACUUUUGUCCGGGAGCAAAUGCCUGGUGUUAAUAGCACUGGGAGCUGAGAGUACCGGAAGAAUAAGCACCGGCUAACUACGUGCCAGCAGCCGCCGUAACAC